rnacentral:rRNA from 1 species
AUGCCGCGUGCAGGAUGACGGUCCUAUGGAUUGUAAACUGCUUUUGUACAGGAAGAAACACUCCCUCGUGAGGGAGCUUGACGGUACUGUAAGAAUAAGGAUCGGCUAACUCCGUGCCAGCAGCCGCGGUAAUACGGAGGAUCCAAGCGUUAUCCGGAAUCAUUGGGGUUAAAGGUCCGUAGCGGUUUAGUAAGUCAGUGGUGAAAGCCCAUCGCUCAACGGUGGACGGCCAUUGAUACUGCUAGACUUGAAUUAUUACGAAGUAACUAGAAUAUGUAGUGUAGCGGUGAAAUGCUUAGAGAUUACAUGAAUACCAAUUGCGAAGCAGGUUACUACUAAUUGAUUGACGCUGAUGGACGAAAGCGUGGGUAGCGAACAGGAUUAGAUACCCUGGUAGUCCACGCCGGUAAACGAUGGAUACUAGCUGUUGGCGCAAGUUCAGUGGCUAAGCGAAAGUGA